rnacentral:rRNA from 1 species
AGUGAACGCUGGCGGUAGGCCUAACACAUGCAAGUCGAACGGAAGCACAGUAAGAGUGUGCCCUUACGGGUGGCGAGGGGCGGACGGGUGAGGAAUACAUCGGAUUCUUAUUUUUCGGGGGGGAUAACGGAGGGAAGGUUACGAUAAUACCGAAUAUGAUGUACGGGUGAAAGCAAGGGAUAUUGGGAGCUUGGGCGAUUGAAUGAGCCGAUGUCGGAUUAGCUAGUUGGGUGGGUAAGGGCCCACCAAGGCGACGAUACGUAGCUGGUCUGAGAGGAUGAUCGGCCACACUGGAACUGAGACACGGUCCAGACUCCUACGGGAGGCAGCAGUAGGGAAUAUUGGGCAAUGGGCGAAAGCCUGAUCCAGCCAUACCGCGUGGGUGAUGAAGGCCUUCGGGUUGUAAAGCCCUGUUGUUGGGAAAGAACAGCUGCAGAUUAAUACCCCGCUGUUCUGACGGUACCCAAUCAGUAAGCACCGGCUAACUACGUG